rnacentral:rRNA from 1 species
AGCAGCCGCGGUAAUUCCAGCUCCAAUAGCGUAUAUUAAAGUUGUUGCAGUUAAAAAGCUCGUAGUUGAACUUCGGGGUUCACCCAUUGGUCAGGCUUAAUUGUCUGCACUGGUGAGAUGAGUCUCUACCUUCUGAGGAACUUUCAUGUCAUUAAUUUGGUGUGAUGGGAAAUCAGGACUGUUACUUUGAAAAAUUAGAGUGUUUAAAGCAGGCUAACGUCUGAAUACAUUAGCAUGGAAUAAUGAAAUAGGACGGACUGAUUCUAUUUCGUUGGUUUCUAGGAUCACCGUAAUGAUUAAUAGGGAUAGUUGGGGGCAUUAGUAUUCAAUUGUCAGAGGUGAAAUUCUUGGAUUUAUUGAAGACUAACUACUGCGAAAGCAUUUGCCAAGGAUGUUUUCAUUAAUCAAGAACGAAAGUUAGGGGAUCGAAGACGAUCAGAUACCGUCGUAGUCUUAACCAUAAACUAUGCCGACUAGGGAUCGGACGAAGUUAAUUUUANAAUGACGCGUUCGA